rnacentral:rRNA from 1 species
AUUGAACGCUGGCGGCAGGCCUAACACAUGCAAGUCGAACGAGUGGCGGACGGGUGAGUAAUGUCUGGGAAACUGCCUGAUGGAGGGGGAUAACUACUGGAAACGGUAGCUAAUACCGCAUACCAUCGGAUGUGCCCAGAUGGGAUUAGCUAGUAGGUGGGGUAAAGGCUCACCUAGGCGACGAUCCCUAUCUGGGCUGAGAGGAUGACCAGCGACACUGGAACGGAGACACGUUCCAGAGGCCUACGGGAGGCAGCAGUGGGGAAUAGUUCACAAUGGGCGCAAGCCUGAUGCAGCCAGGCCGCGUGUAGGAAGAAGGCCUGCGGGUUGGAAAGUACUUUCAGCGGGGAGGCGUUACUCGCAGAAGAAGCACCGGCUAACUCCGUGCCAGAAGCCGCGGUAAUUC